GUGAGGAAGAGGAAGGUGUUCAAAGGAGAUCAAUACCAGAUAUUACAGAAGAGUAACAUGAAUGCUGGAGAGGUGCCAGAAGAACUAACAGCUAAUUCAGAGAUCGAGGAAGCUUUCCCUGAAUAAGUGUUUGGACAGCCCUAUUUUUGGCCCUGGUCCCACAUGUGAAGAUCCGCGUCAUUAGUGGCCCACAACUUGCAGCUGCUUUGCAAAAGGCUCACGUGUGUCUGGGAGGGCAUCUCAUUCCUCUGGAUAAUUUGUCAAAGAGGAAUGGGUUGAACUGCGCCAUGGUCCUUGGUUGCUUCAUUUGCCAGAAGGAGAAGGACAUUCUCUUCAUCAGAAAAUGAAUGCGAAGGACGUGGAAAGUCUGCAGAAAUAAACCGCAGAGCUACUCUGGCAGCAACGGAGGUUGGUUUGGCACGGGAUAGCUUGUGCAACUUGCUGACCAUCUUCUGAACAGCCCCACUAGUCGAAGCCCCUAGCUACAACAGGCACAUAGCCACUUUAUCUUCCUUAUCCCAAGAGACCAGUAAGGAUCAGAAGAAGAAGGUGGCAGCAUGCCUACGUCAAAGGGCCAUGGACAAGGAUCUGACCAUCAGGGAAAAUGAUCAUGUGGACGUGGCAGUGCCCUACGAUGGAACAUGGCAUAGACGAGGUUACACAUCGAAUCAUGGGGUGGGGGUAGUGAUACCGAUCGAUACAGGGGAGAUUGUUUUACACAGAGGGUCUAUCAAAAUCAUGUAAACAGUUUGAGUAU